GAUGAACGCUGGCGGCGUGCCUAAUACAUGCAAGUCGAGCGAACAGAUCAUGAGCUUGCUCCUCUGACGUUAGCGGCGGACGGGUGAGUAACACGUGGAUAACCUACCUAUCAGACUGGUAUCACUUCGGGAAACCGGAUCUAACACCGGAUAAUCUAUUGAACCGCAGGGUUCAAUGGUGAAAGUCGGCUUUGCUGGCACUUAUCGAUGGUUCCGGGCCGCAUUAGCUAGUUGGUAAGGUAACGGCCUACGACGGCAAGGAUGCGUAGCCGAGCUGAGGGGGGGAUCGGCCACACGGGAGCUGAGACACGGUCCAGACUCCUACGGGAGGCAGCAGUAGGGAAUCUUACGCAAUGGGCGAAAGCCUGACGGAGCAACGCCGCGUGAGUGAUGAAGGUCUUCGGAUCGUAAAACUCUGUUAUUAGGGAAGAACAAAUGUGUAAGUAACUAUGCACGUCUUGACGGUACCUAAUCAGAAAGCCACGGCUAACUACGUG
rnacentral:rRNA from 1 species